CCGUGCCAGCAGCCGCGGUAAUACGGAGGGUGCGAGCGUUAAUCGGAAUUACUGGGCGUAAAGCGCAUGCAGGUGGUUUGUUAAGUCAGAUGUGAAAGCCCGGGGCUCAACCUCGGAAUUGCAUUUGAAACUGGCAGACUAGAGUACUGUAGAGGGGGGUAGAAUUUCAGGUGUAGCGGUGAAAUGCGUAGAGAUCUGAAGGAAUACCGGUGGCGAAGGCGGCCCCCUGGACAGAUACUGACACUCAGAUGCGAAAGCGUGGGGAGCAAACAGGAUUAGAUACCCUGGUAGUCCACGCCGUAAACGAUGUCUACUUGGAGGUUGUGGCCUUGAGCCGUGGCUUUCGGAGCUAACGCGUUAAGUAGACCGCCUGGGGAGUACGGUCGCAAGAUUAAAACUCAAAUGAAUUGACGGGGGCCCGCACAAGCGGUGGAGCAUGUGGUUUAAUUCGAUGCAACGCGAAGAACCUUACCUACUCUUGACAUCCAGAGAACUUUCCAGAGAUGGAUUGGUGCCUUCGGGAACUCUGAGACAGGUGCUGCAUGGCUGUCGUCAGCUCGUGUUGUGAAAUGUUGGGUUAAGUCCCGCAACGAGCGCAACCCUUAUCCUUGUUUGCCAGCGAGUAAUGUCGGGAACUCCAGGGAGACUGCCGGUGAUAAACCGGAGGAAGGUGGGGACGACGUCAAGUCAUCAUGGCCCUUACGAGUAGGGCUACACACGUGCUACAAUGGCGCAUACAGAGGGCGGCCAACUUGCGAAAGUGAGCGAAUCCCAAAAAGUGCGUCGUAGUCCGGAUUGGAGUCUGCAACUCGACUCCAUGAAGUCGGAAUCGCUAGUAAUCGUGGAUCAGAAUGCCACGGUGAAUACGUUCCCGGGCCUUGUACACACCGCCCGUCACACCAUGGGAGUGGGCUGCAAAAGAAGUAGGUAGUUUAACCUUCGGGGGGACGCUUACCACUUUGUGGUUCAUGACUGGGGUGAAGUCGUAACAAGGUAGCGCUAGGGGAACCUGGCGCUGGAUCACCUCCUUAAACGAUGAU
rnacentral:rRNA from 1 species